GAUGAACGCUGGCGGUAUGCCUAACACAUGCAAGUCGAACGGUCACUUAGGUGAUAGUGGCGGACGGGUGAGUAACGCGUGAGAAUCUGCCCUCAGGAUGGGGACAACAGUUGGAAACGACUGCUAAUACCCGAUGUGCCGCAAGGUGAAAGAUUUAUCGCCUGAGGAGGAGCUCGCGUCUGAUUAGCUAGUUGGUAAGGUAAAGGCUUACCAAGGCAUCGAUCAGUAGCUGGUCUGAGAGGAUGAGCAGCCACACUGGGACUGAGACACGGCCCAGACUCCUACGGGAGGCAGCAGUGGGGAAUUUUCCGCAAUGGGCGAAAGCCUGACGGAGCAAUACCGCGUGAGGGAGGAAGGCUCUUGGGUUGUAAACCUCUUUUCUCUGGGAAGAAAAAAAUGACGGUACCAGAGGAAUAAGCAUCGGCUAACUCCGUGCCAGCAGCCGCGGUAAUACGGAGGAUGCAAGCGUUAUCCGGAAUCAUUGGGCGUAAAGCGUCCGUAGGUGGUUUUUCAAGUCUGCUGUCAAAGCCUGGGGCUUAACCCCAGAUAGGCAGUGGAAACUGGGAGACUAGAGUUCGGUAGGGGUAGCGGGAAUUCCCAGUGUAGCGGUGAAAUGCGUAGAUAUUGGGAAGAACAUCGGUGGCGAAGGCGCGCUACUGGGCCGAAACUGACACUCACAGGACGAAAGCUAGGGGAGCGAAAGGGAUUAGAUACCCCUGUAGUCCUAGCUGUAAACGAUGGAAACUAGGUGUGGCUUGUAUCGACCCGAGCCGUGCCGAAGCUAACGCGUUAAGUUUCCCGCCUGGGGAGUACGCACGCAAGUGUGAAACUCAAAGGAAUUGACGGGGGCCCGCACAAGCGGUGGAGUAUGUGGUUUAAUUCGAUGCAACGCGAAGAACCUUACCAGGGCUUGACAUGUCGCGAAUCUCUUAGAAAUAGGAGAGUGCCUUCGGGAACGCGAACACAGGUGGUGCAUGGCUGUCGUCAGCUCGUGUCGUGAGAUGUUGGGUUAAGUCCCGCAACGAGCGCAACCCUCGUUUUUAGUUGCCAUCAUUAAGUUGGGCACUCUAGAGAGACUGCCGGUGACAAACCGGAGGAAGGUGAGGAUGACGUCAAGUCAGCAUGCCCCUUACGCCCUGGGCUACACACGUACUACAAUGGUUGGGACAACGGGUAGCGACCCCGCGAGGGCAAGCGAAUCUCAUCAAACCCAGCCUCAGUUCAGAUUGCAGGCUGCAACUCGCCUGCAUGAAGGAGGAAUCGCUAGUAAUCGCAGGUCAGCAUACUGCGGUGAAUUCGUUCCCGGGCCUUGUACACACCGCCCGUCACACCAUGGAAGCUGGCCACACCCGAAGUCGUUACCCUAACCCUUGUGGAGGGGGACGCCGAAGGUGGGGCUAGUGACUGGGGUGAAGUCGUAACAAGGUAGCCGUACCGGAAGGUGUGGCUGGAUCACCUCCUUU
rnacentral:rRNA from 1 species